rnacentral:lncRNA from 1 species
GUUUUCAAUGCAGAAACCAAACAUUUUAUUUCAACAGUUCUGGCAAACAAGUUUUUAUGAACAAGUAAUCGAGGACACCCGUGCAGGUGCUUUGUCCAAGCGUUCACCUACAACAUGUGGUGAACCACCACUGUACACAUAUUCACAACAUAAGAUGCCACACUGAACUCCUUUUCCCAUAAAACAAAUAAGAGAAUAGUAAAGCAACAUGGUGAUUGUUCGUGUAACAACACUCAAUGGAAUGCUUAUCAACGUAUGGGGAUCACCAAAAGUUGAAUAUUAAGCAAUGACUGCUUUACUUGCUCAAACGUAUAGGCACAUACAUAGAAGAUGCCUUCUUAGAUGCCUUCUUAGAUGCCACAAGGAUAUAGUUGUUCUGAAUUGACAUCCGACUGAUAGACAAAGAAAUGGGCUGUAACAUGCAAUGGCAAGGAAUUCCAAACAAUGAUUGCAGAGAAGUAGCAAGAAAGCGAAUAAAACAGUGAUUGGAAGAAGUCCCCUGGGCUAUGCUGCGCACAAGUUUUUGAAAACCUGUGAGAGCCCAGUAACUGUUCCUUGGUUGGGGCUGCAUUCAGUGCUGGAGUCAGAAGUACUAGAGCAGAGCAGAUUAAAGAUGCACUGCAUUAAGUAUAUGCUUACUACUCGAAGCUGGCAGUAGCAGCUUACUAUGUAACCCGUGCAAGCAUAAUCAGCACAAGCUCUCUCCCAAAAUCAACAAUUUUGGCUCAGCUGGCAAACACAAUGGCUCGUAACUUUCUAUCAGCUACUGCUCGUACGCUUAGAGAAAAAGGUUCACAAUGAUUUUGCAGCUCAGCGUAUGUUGGCAACUUGCAUGAUGUUAUCUGUACUAAAGUUGCACUCAUACUUCAAACAAACUUGAUUUUUUAUUUAACAUCUUUUCUAACAAAACCUUCCGUAGGCACUCUUCUGUUCUAAGUCUGACACAAGUACAAAAACAAAUACUACCUUGUAAUACCACGCCCAAGUGAAUAGAACUGACAGGCAUUUCACUCAAGCGCUACAACCAUAAAAACAGGCAAAUUCUGUACCAAGUGCGUGGUCACAGAAAAACAACACUUUGGCAGCUCACCAUGCUUAUUUACAGGGAUGUAGUGACGUGUAGGUUGUGGAGAAAAUGUGGAAAAUGUGUCAGAAAGGCCACCUCGGAGAGUACAGGAAGUGUCUGCAUUUCAAUGGGUAAGUAAGAGCUGUACACUACUUUAGAGCUGCAAGUCUGAACUGCAUUCAAUGUUAACAAAUAAUUCAGCAGACACACUUAAAAGACUGCUUACGUGUACGAAAGUGAAACCAUGAUAAAGUUUGUAGACCACGGAACAUCAUGAAUGCGUUCAUUGCAUGCAUGAUCGCGCUCAUGAAUGCAAGUACUAGGCACAUUGUUAGUGAGCCAUAAGCCUUGGAGCCGCCGUGGCGUUGGGGAAGCGAGCUCCCCUCGCACCCCGGAGGCCCGGGUUCGAUUCUCACCCAGACCAAAACGUACCAAAUUUUCUUUUCAAUGCCAUUAACUUCCUUUGUUUACAGGAAUCUCCCUGAGAAAUUUGACGUCAAUCGAAGCAUUUUUUUUACUCUAAGUGUCGUCGCCCAUUUUUGGUACCAUCCAGUCAUGCCGACUGAUUUUCGCGUAAUGGGGCAUAUAAUGCUUCCGCAUUAAAAAAGAAAGAGAGAGAGAGAACAGGGUUACCUGAGUUACAUAAUUUAACCUCAAAACUGGCACACACCAUGUACAUUAUGUGUACCACAGUUAACAAGUGCUAGCAAUUGGCAGGGAUGACGUAAAACAGCUGGCAUGCUGUGAAGGCUAGUUCAUACACACAGGGCUAAAGCUGCUCAAGUUGCUUGAAGGUUCUUUUUAAACAUUUUAUUAAAAAACCUUUUACAGACAACAUAAUCUAGGUAAAUUGCUAUAACAACAGUUUGAAUAGCAAAAUAUGAAAAAAAAAACAAGGUUUCCCUAAUGCAAAUGCUGCACGCUUGAACAAUGGUACAUUAGCUCAAACAGCAGCAGCUAACCUAUUGCAUAAAACCAACCAGCGGGUCACACUUCAGGCAUGGUGAAACACUUAACGAUGGUGCAAAACAAGACAAAAAAAAAAAAUUUACAAUAAAAAAA